UUUAGUUUUUUUAGACAAUCAAUAACUUAUGAAAAUCAUAAAUUAGUUUACUAAAUUCAUAUUUGUAGGCCUAUUGUAUUUAUCAUUCAUAUUGUAUAUUUAAUUUAUAAUAAUCCUGAUAGUCAUCAUUGCGGAAAACACAUUAUGAAAUAUAUUUUCAUAGUUUUUAUAAUGGACCAAGGUAAAAAAGUAGUGUACUUUAGUGUAUUAGAAAUAUGAUUGAAGUAUAAAACAGUAUACAACAAGUAUGCUUCUACAAUGCAAUUGUACUGUAAGGGUGCUUAAUUGCUCAUGAAUCUUAAUUUUCAGUAGUGUAUUUUAGUGCACUUGAAGUUUAAAAAAUGUGUUCCAUUUUAGUAUACUAUUUACACUUGAAGUGUAGUCAAAUAGAUGUUAAGUUGAAGUUAAUACAUAAUUUAAUACACUUAACUAUACUUGGAUUUGACGGAAAUAGAUACAAAAUGUAGAAUAAGUAGUAAUAUACUUGGUACAAUUUUUAAUAUAAUUAUUUUUCACCUGGGGAAAGCUUAAAAAAAUAAGUUUUUUUAUGAGUUUGCAUGAAGUGUGAAUGUAUAGUUUAAAUUAGGGUUUGAAUGUGUUUUGAGUGACCUUAUAUCUUUAGAUGUCCUUAAAAACAUUAUUAAAUGACCCUAUAUGGCUAAAACUGAAGACACGCACAUACAAAUAGACAAAGUGUUCAUCUCUUCAUGCUAAUUCACAUCUUUAUCAGACAUCUUCACCGAAUUAAACAUUUGCAUUGACAUCAUGUUGUCUGACUUAAUUUUCAGACUAUAGUUCAAUAUACAUAGUUAAGUGAGUUUGAUUACAUAAAUUAUAGCCAUAAGGUGACAAAUUAAAUCAGCCUGAAUAUAGAAAGUUAACAAUUAAGGCAAUAUAAGGUAAAACUACCAGUUCUGUUUUUCUGUAUGUAAACAGUAAGAAAUAUAUUAACAGCUGUUUUACUGUAUAUUUUAAGAGAAAUUGUCCGUAGCAUAAUGUGAUUUUAUAAUGUAUAGAGAUAUAUAAAUAUAAAUGUAUCCAUUUACAUUUUCAAAUUGCAUUAUGGGAUCUUGAUCUCAGCCUCAACAAUUUUAUGGCCAUAAUGAAGUUAUAAAAGAUAAAACAUGUUAUUUUUUUACUGUUGCUGCAUUGUCAAUCGACAGACAAUAAGAGUAAAAUGUUGAGGUAAUGAGCUAUUUUACAGAUGUGUAGUCUAAUUAGGGACCUGGGCCGGCUGGCAGUCCAAAAACACUACAGUAGUGUAAUCUGUGAUCACAUUUGUACUGACAAAAUCAAAACAGACCAGAAGAUUAAUCAGUCUAUGCAAAUGAUUUCUAAUGAGUUUAAUCUAGAAUAAUCAAUAAACCCCCACAGACACCCCAAGCUUGGGCAUGUUUGGAAACCUGGGAAUUCACAGCCUGCCAAAAUUGUAUCAAAAUGUGGGAUGUGCAAGCUGUAGCUAUCCCACAACGCAAUGUGCUAACAACAUAGAAAGAAUGUAACCAAAUAUAUAUAUUUUAAUGUGAAACAACAAUGCAAAGUAUUGCCUUUAAUUUCCCAGCAUACAAUACGUAAAAAUUGCUGCUUGCACAAUGUUGUGGUUAACCAACCAGAAUGAAUCAUUACACAUCAAUAUAUUUACAUUUAGGCAUUUAGCAGAUGCUUUUAUUCAAAGAUUAGGAAACAAUGAAGUGAUUUGUCAUAGGUGUUUUAUCUGCAUGUCUCAAACAGCACUGUUAAAAAGAUGCUAACUUUGAAAUGUCCCUCAACACAUUAUCUAUAAAAGAGGGCAGUAAUAAGAUGUGUAUUGCUGUAGCUAAGCAGACACAUUCACAGAUUCCAAUUCCAUGCCAUUUAACAGGCUUUAGAAAGAGAGGAAGAGAGAUUGAGAUGGAGUAUGUAAAGACUGUUGUAGAGACUGUCUGAAUUUGGUGCCUAAUUAUGUCCUUUGAGACCACCAGGACAAGAAGAGAAAGAAUGAAUGAGAGGAAAGCAGGAUGAGGAAGAGGAGGGGAGAUGGAGACCCUCGAGGAGUCUGGUGAGAGACAGAGGUCUUAAGCCUGAGUCCUGCACAAAUGCCAAUCGUUCACGAGCGCCAUACGUCAUGACUCUGCGGGCCGAAGACAGACUGAGACCUUGGUUCACCAAGUUCAGCCGUCUGGAUGCAAAGUUCCCCAGGUGUAAACUGGAAGGCAUGUACAGUACACAGACAGUUCAGCACGUGAUUGAGGAUGUUUGUAGUCCCUGUGCGAUGUGUGGAAGUCGAAGGGGAAGCGGCGGAUUUGAGUUCCGCUCGGAUUGAACAAAGAGGACAAAACAUGACGGAGUGAUAAGAACUACAAGACACCAAAUCAAAGUGUUAGGAAACUUUAAACUUUUCAUGUUUGACCUUUUCUGUUUGGGAAAAAAGCAUAACAGUGUAUGUGAAUGUGUGUCUAGACUGCCAGGUGCCGUCUGGGUGGGCUUGUUGCCAUAAUGAGGAAUCUGGUGAAUGCAUUUGAGAAAACUGGAGGGUUGUAGGACGACUCUGACAGGAGCAAAUAUAAUCACUGGGGCUGAAUGUGGAUUUGAGCCAAAGGUUGUGUGUGUGAGAAGUUUAUGCCAAGUUCACCAUCUAAAAUAGAGAUAUUGUGUAAGUGUCAUUUAGCUCGUGUUUAUCUGUUUCUCUAGACAGAUUUCAAUUGCCACAUAACUACAUAAUUGGACACCAAAUCUUAAUAAAAUAUAUUUAAGAUGUUUUAAAGAUUAAGAGAGUAAAAUAUUUUUAAAAAAGUGUAAUUAAUGGUGGUGUUAUAGUGGAAAAUUUGUGUUUUGUACAGAACAGAAGUGUCCGAUGUGAUGGCAGGAAAAAAAUUCCUUUUUUAAUACAAGCAAAUUGUGUGUAUGUUUAAGACAGGUGUGUGUUACAUUGCUGUAGUUAUGCAGCUGUUUCCCAGUAACUUACUGUAGAUUUAUGUUAUUUACUGCACUGUAAAAUGUAUGUAAAUUACAGUAUUACUGGGUAUUACUGGCAGCUGGUUGUCAGUAACUUACUGUAGAUUUUACAUUUAUGGUAUUUUUUAUUUUUAUUUUAUUUAUCCAGGAAGGUCUCAUUGAGAUACAACAUCUCUUCUACCAGAGAGUCCUGGUGGCAACAGUUUGUUCAAAGUUAAAUGAACAUAAAACAUUUUCAGUCUUUAUCUUCUACAGUAAGUUACUGGCAACCAGCUGCAUAAUUACAGCUAAUUUUUUUACAGUGUUGCAACAGUUUGUUCAAAGUAAAAUGAACAUUAAACAUUAUCAAGUCUUUAUCUUUACAGAAUCAAACUACAAAAUAACAUCUUGUGUAAAGCAUUUUGGGAACCAGAAAUCCGCAUCAACCUUUUUCGUUUUUCUUCAGACUUUCUUCAGAAUUCUUUGCAUGAGGCUGUUAUUUUAUAGUUUGAUUCUAUAAAGAUAAAGACUUGUAUAUGCUGACAGUAAUAUUGUAAUUUCUUCAGACAUUUUUAACAGUGUAAGCUUAUUUGUUUCUUUGAUUUGAUUGUCUGAGAUUAGACAUAGACAUAAUCUGGAAAGAGAAAGCUAGAAAAUGUAAGUAAAACAUGCAGUGCCAUUUGGUUUCCCUGAAGCCUUAUCAAAAGCAUGCUGGAUGCUCACACUCUUCAUCAUCCUCUUCCUCGUUCUGUUCUAGCAGGUAUGUCUCUAAUUGUUAAAAUUUUAUAUCUCAGCACUUGCCACAUCAUUUCCUUCUUAAGUAAGCCCUUUGAAGUUCUCUUUUGUAAGUCACUUUAUAUAAAAGCAUCUACUAAAUGCCUUAAUGUAAACGUGUUGAUGGUUGCUUUAAAAUGUUAAUGUGUUUCUUGUGUACAAUGAAUUAAUGACCUUUAACAUUAUCUUUGCUAUUUGCCUGAUAUUGUUUACUCAUUAAUUAAAUGUUUUGCUAUGAUGUGUUUAGUGAAAUAUUUUAUCCGAGGCAAGAUCAGUGCCAAUGUUCAGUGACUUUUUGUGCAAGCUUUAUAAACAGAAUUUGACUUUUAAAAAAAUAACUCAGUCCC